rnacentral:rRNA from 1 species
CACGUAGGGCGCGAGCGUUGUCCGGAAUUAUUGGGCGUAAAGAGCUCGUAGGUGGUUUGUUACGUCCGCUGUGAAAGUCCAGGGCUCAACCCUGGAAAGCGGGUGGAUACUGCCGGGCUAGAAUCCGGAAGAGGCGAGUGGAAUUCCUGGUGUAGCGGUGGAAUGCGCAGAUAUCAGGAGGAACACCAAUAGCGAAGGCAGCUCGCUGGGACGGUAUUGACGCUAAGGCGCGAAAGCGUGGGGAGCAAACA